ensembl:lncRNA novel transcript
AGGCAGCUGGAGCGAAGAGGACGGCUUUCUGGUAUGGCGCGGCCUUUGUCUCUUGCUGCCGCUGGAGCUCCAGAUCUCUUGUUCACUGCUCUGUGUUCUCUGCUCAUAGAGGCCCAGCCUCUGAGGCCCUUUGACCUGCAGGUAUUGGGAGAUCCACAGCCAAGAGCCAGGACCCCCUAGAAGUCUAGAAAUGGUAUUGUUCUCUCCAAGCCAGAACUGAUCACCUGUCUGGAGCAAGGAAAAAAACCUCUGACCGUGAAGAGACAUGAGAUGAUUGCCAAACCCCCAGAUGGAAUUAAAUUCACCUGUCUCGGCCUUCCAAAAUGCUGGGAUAACAGGCAUGAGCCACCGCACCCAGCCCAGUUAUUUCAACAAGUGCAUGCUCAAGAGUGUGUUGUAUCAUUUCUAUAUAGCUGUAAAUUUAUCAAUUAUUUAUAUUAUUGUUUUAUACUCUAAUUCCAUUUUUUGUCGUAGAAGGUAAUCUAUGAAAUUUCGGUUUUAAAAAAUGUGUUAAGUCUUUGUUUUUGGCCUAUCAGGUGGUUUAUAAAGAAGAAUGUUGAAUGAGCUAUUGAGAAGGCUGUGUAUCCCGAUGUUGUUGAGGAGUGUUCUCUAUACCUUCAUUAGAAAUUAUUGUUUUUGACUGCCUUUUAGUCCUCUGUUCCCUUACUAAUAUCAUCUUGUUUUAUUAUUAUUACAGAAAGUGGGGUAUUGAAAUAUCCUACUAUAAUUAUAUUGCUCUCUCUGUGUUUAUUCAGUUUUGUUAGUAUUUACUUUAUAUAUCUGAAAGCCUAAUUUGAGACACACACACAAAUACAUGCAUGUAUAAACAAAUUUGUCAUACAUUCACAGGGAAUGAAUCUAUGUAUUGUUAAAUGUCCUUUUUUGUCUGUUUGAAGUUUUGACUUAAAGUACAUUUUAUAAAAUAUGACAGUUUUUUACUUAAGAUGUAGCUUGUGUAAUAUUAUUUUGAGCUCUUCUGCUCUAAUUUGGUUAAUAUUUACAUUAAAUUUCUACUUCCAUCUCACCACUUUCAGUCUUUUUUUGUCAUUAGAUCUCAACUGACUCUUGUAGAAAGUCAAGUUGAAUCUUGAUUUCACAGAAUUUUUAAUAAACCUUUUUAUUGAAAGUA